rnacentral:pre_miRNA from 1 species
UAACAUCCUCAGGCUGGCUGGCCCCCAGGCUGGUCUGGGCUGGGUGAGUAUCUCACCCUCAAGCAUGACUAGGAGC